UCGGAUACACAUCACACACAUCACUUCGUAGUAAAUUUUGUGCAAACAAUUAUUCGCUUGUUGUCGACUGUUUUUCAAAUGCCAGAUAUGCUCUUGAGUUGGAUGUGCUUAGGCGUGUUUAUUGAUAAAAUAAUUUAUCUACAUAAUGACACGUUAUAGUUGUAUAAGAACAUAUAAGCGAGAACGUUCCUUUUUGUUGAAAAGGUUCUUGUACAAUAAAAUUUUAAAAUAAUGGCGAGCACUUCUCGAAUGAUAUUAGAUGAUUAUAAAAAAGCUGAAUGUGUGUGUCAAUUGUGCAAAAAGAGAUUUACGAAAUUCUAUAUAAUAUGCAAACCGAUUGUUUGCGAAAAUUGUGGAGAAUAUUUGAAGAAGACUCUGGGACGUACUUUCGGUGUUAUUCACGCACACGGAAAAGAACAUUACGUGUGUAACAUGUGCGUUAAAUUUUAUAAGUCAGCAUCUCGUUUAAAUCAACACACGAAACUUCAUUUACAAAACGAUUCUUCGACCAUGUACAAGUGUGGUAACUGCGAGGAAACUUUUACAAGGAAGACUAAGUUACGGCAACAUAUUAAAACUCACGAAAAGAAAUAUUCGUGCCGAAUAUGUCAUAAACGUUUUAAGUCACUGUUUCUCUUAAAUCGACAUAAAACUCAUUUACCUUUGGAACAAUACAUGUGCGAAGAGUGCGGAAAAGAUUAUAAGAUAAAAAAGUGUUUCGAAAAGCAUAAGAAAAGUCAUGAAGAGGAGAGAAAGAGAAAAGAGAGAGAAGAGUAAGUCUUAUGAUAGUAUCC